CACGUAGGGGGCGAGCGUUGUCCGGAAUUACUGGGCGUAAAGGGCUCGUAGGCGGCCAACUAAGUCCGACGUGAAAUCCCAAAGCUUAACUUUGGAACUGCGUCGGAUACUGGAUGGCUUGAAUUCGGGAGAGGGAUGCAGAAUUCCAGGUGUAGCGGUGAAAUGCGUAGAUAUCUGGAGGAAUACCGGUGGCGAAAGCGGCGCACUGGACCACAACUGACGCUGAGGCGCGAAAGCUAGGGGAGCAAACAGG
rnacentral:rRNA from 1 species